rnacentral:misc_RNA from 1 species
CUGGACACAGAAGUAUGCCAUGGGAUGAUAGAUAAUCAGAUACUGUACAAAUGGGUUGUGUCUAUUUGUGAAAUGUGUAGAAUCCGUUUUAACUUUUGGACUUGGUCUGAGAGGGAGGGGGUUGGUGUUAGGGAAUGAACUUGAGUUCUUCAGUGGAAACUAUAGUUUGGGGAUUGGCUGGAAAAUAACUUUAUUGCCUGGAUGUUUUGAUGUAGACAAUGUCUGUUGUUUAAAGCUCUUAUUUUCUCUGGUGUUAAACCCCUUCUUCGCUUGGUGAUUUGAUCAAAUAAUAUUAUGCUUUAAACA